rnacentral:rRNA from 1 species
CCUACGGGAGGCAGCAGUGGGGAAUAUUGCACAAUGGGGGACACCCUGAUGCAGCGACGCCGCGUGAGUGAAGAAGUAUUUCGGUAUGUAAAGCUCUAUCAGCAGGGGAGAAAAUGACGGUACCUGAUUCAGACGCCCCGGCUAACUACGUGACAGCAGCCGCGGUAAUACGUAGGGGGCAGGCGUUAUCCGGAUUUACUGGGUGUAAAGGGAGCGUAGACGGCAGCACAAGUCUGGAGUGAAAUGCCGGGGCUUAACCCCGGAACUGCUUUGGAAACUGUGCAGCGAGAGUGCAGGAGAGGUAAGUGGAAUGCCUAGUGUAGCGGUGAAAGGCGUAGAUAUUAGGAGGAACACCAGUGGCGAAGGCGGCUUACUGGACUGUAACUGACGUUGAGGCUCGAAAGCGUGGGGAGCAAACAGGAUUAGAGACCCCUGUAGUC